rnacentral:tRNA from 1 species
UGUGGUGAAGUUCAUGCUGAGUUGCAAGCUCAGAGAUGGGCAUUAAUAUGCUCCGGGGUUUA